CUUGAACUGCAGUCGACUAUGUGGGAGUCCAGCGAGGUCAUAGAACUAUGAGAAGCUACAUCCGAGUCUGAUGGAGAGGGUGGGUGUCCUCCACAUAUUCUUGUCUUUGGAAGAGCCAACGAGACAUGAUAGUUGGAGCUGCAGUCAUCUCCCUUGGACCAUGAAACAACCUGGAGGACAGAUGGCCAGAGUUAAGAUGGUGAAGCAGAAAGACAGAGACAGGAUUACAAAGAAUGAGAAGCCACGGUAUCAGCCC